AUUGAACGCCGGCGGCAUGCCUUACACAUGCAAGUCGAACGGCAGCACGGGAGCAAUCCUGGUGGCGAGUGGCGAACGGGUGAGUAAAGUAUCGGAACGUGCCCAGUCGUGGGGGAUAACGUAGCGAAAGUUACGCUAAUACCGCAUACGAUCUAUGGAUGAAAGCGGGGGAUCGCAAGACCACGCGCGAUUGGAGCGGCCGAUAUCAGAUUAGGUAGUUGGUGGGGUAAAGGCUCACCAAGCCGACGAUCUGUAGCUGGUCUGAGAGGACGACCAGCCACACUGGGACUGAGACACGGCCCAGACUCCUACGGGAGGCAGCAGUGGGGAAUUUUGGACAAUGGGCGCAAGCCUGAUCCAGCCAUGCCGCGUGCAGGGUGAAGGCCUUCGGGUUGUAAACUGCUUUUGUACGGAACGAAAAGGUUUGGCUUAAUACGUUGAACUCAUGACGGUACCGUAAGAAUAAGCACCGGCUAACUACGUGCCAGCAGCCGCGGUAA
rnacentral:rRNA from 1 species